rnacentral:rRNA from 1 species
CAGGACGAACGCUGGCGGCGUGCCUAACACAUGCAAGUCGAACGGAGUUGAGGAGCUUGCUCCUUAACUUAGUGGCGGACGGGUGAGUAACGCGUGAGUAACCUGCCUCUGAGAGGGGAAUAACGUUCUGAAAAGGACGCUAAUACCGCAUAACACAUAUUUGCCGCAUGACAGAUAUGUCAAAGAUUUUUAUCGCUCGGAGAUGGACUCGCGUCCGAUUAGUUAGUUGGUGAGGUAACGGCUCACCAAGACCGCGAUCGGUAGCCGGACUGAGAGGUUGAUCGGCCACAUUGGGACUGAGACACGGCCCAGACUCCUACGGGAGGCAGCAGUGGGGGAUAUUGCGCAAUGGGGGCAACCCUGACGCAGCAACGCCGCGUGAAGGAUGAAGGUUUUCGGAUUGUAAACUUCUUUUCUCAGGGACGAAGAAUGACGGUACCUGAGGAAUAAGCUCCGGCUAACUACGUGCCAGCAGCCGC